rnacentral:rRNA from 1 species
GACGAACGCUGGCGGCGUGCUUAACACAUGCAAGUCGAGCGGUAAGGCCCUUUCGGGGGUACACGAGCGGCGAACGGGUGAGUAACACGUGGGUGACCUGCCCUCAGCUCUGGGAUAAGCCUGGGAAACUGGGUCUAAUACCGGAUAUGACUCCAUGACGCAUGUUGUGGGGUGGAAAGCCUUGUGCGGCUGAGGAUGGGCCCGCGGCCUAUCAGCUUGUUGGUGGGGGAUGGCCCACCAAGGCGACGACGGGUAGCCGGCCUGAGAGGGCGACCGGCCACACUGGGACUGAGACACGGCCCAGACUCCUACGGGAGGGCAGCAGUGGGGAAUCUUGCGCAAUGGGCGAAAGCCUGACGCAGCGACGCCGCGUGAGGGAUGACGGCCU